rnacentral:rRNA from 1 species
GAUGAACGCUGGCGGCGUGCCUAAUACAUGCAAGUAGAACGCUGAAGGAGGAGCUUGCUCUUCUGGAUGAGUUGCGAACGGGUGAGUAACGCGUAGGUAACCUGCCUGGUAGCGGGGGAUAACUAUUGGAAACGAUAGCUAAUACCGCAUGACAACAGUUAUUGCAUGAUAACUGUUUAAAAGGGGCAACUGCUCCACUACCAGAUGGACCUGCGUUGUAUUAGCUAGUUGGUGAGGUAACGGCUCACCAAGGCGACGAUACGUAGCCGACCUGAGAGGGGGAUCGGCCACACUGGGACUGAGACACGGCCCAGACUCCUACGGGAGGCAGCAGUAGGGAAUCUUCGGCAAUAGACGGAAGUCUGACCGAGCAACGCCGCGUGAGUGAAGAAGGUUUUCGGAUCGUAAAGCUCUGUUGUAAGAGAAGAACGAGUGUGAGAGUGGAAAGUUCACACUGUGACGGUAUCUUACCAGAAAGGGACGGCUAACUACGUG